UACGGAGGGUGCUAACGUUGUUCGGAAUUACUGGGCAUAAAGCGCACGUAGGCGGUCUGCUAAGUCGGCCGUGAAAGCCCCCGGCUCAACCGGGGAACUGCGUUCGAUACUGGCAGGCUAGAGAACGGUUGGGGUGAGUGGAACUCCAGGUGGAGCGGUGAAAUGCGUAGAUAUCUGGAGGAACACCGGUGGCGAAAGCGGCUCACUGGACCGUCACUGACGCUGAGGUGAGAAAGCUAGGGGAGCAAACGGG
rnacentral:rRNA from 1 species